rnacentral:rRNA from 1 species
UACGUAGGCAGCAAGCGUUGUUCGGAAUUACUGGGCGUAAAGAGUGUGUAGGCGGUGCUCUAAGUUCGGUGUGAAAUCUCCCGGCUCAACUGGGAGGGUGCGCCGAAAACUGGAGUGCUGGAGCGCGGGAGAGGAAAGCGGAAUUCCUGGUGUAGCGGUGAAAUGCGCAGAUAUCAGGAGGAACACCGGUGGCGAAGGCGGGUCUCUGGGCCGAUACUGACGCUGAGGAGCGAAAGCGUGGGGAGCGAACAGG